AUCGGUGGUCAUGUGACCAGUGUUUCCAGCAUGGACCCUGUGACAACAUCACCGAUGACACAUGUGGAUGCAUCAAUGCCGUUCCUCCUGAUGGACAAUACUGCCAGUCUGUUAAUCAGCACAACUUCACAGCUUGUCCUGUUAGAACAACCUCUCCACCAACAAAUACCACAACAGUUGCAACAACCCAGAACACUACAUUCUUUACAACUCCCACUGUCACAACUG